UGCAAGCACAGAGAUGGCCCUAAGUGUGGGGGGACAGGUGGGGAUCUUCAAAAAGGGGAGAAUGUGGCAGGGUCUCAGAAUUUGCAAAGCAGUAAAGCAUCACUGGUAAAAAAAAAAAAAAAAAAAAAAAAAAACACACUGUCUCCAAGACAGGUGACUGAAGUUCAGACCUGGGUACCACCACUUGGGACAUUCAGCAGGUGACUCAGCCCCUGGAAGCCUCAGUUGGCUCACCUGUCAAACUGGGAUACACGGUGAACUUCAUGGGGUGUUUAAAGGCUUAACCAGGACAACACACACAAGAUGUGUUUCAAUACUUGACGUUAAGCACACGCUUCUGAAUCCUGGUGGACCAUCCACCCUCCAGGCCAUGCAGAGGAGUUCAAAAUGGAAGAGGGGGAAGAAGGUGCCCAAGGCCUGGGUUAGAAUCCAUCGUCUCCCACCAGCAGUGGCUCUGCAAGCACGGGUGAAAGAUAAAGAAAUUACAUGGCUACCUCUCAGCAGCCUGCACCGUGAUCAAUGGCCAACGUGGAGAAUUAGGCCCUGGCUCUAAAACGAGAAAAGAAAGAAGCAAAAGAGCCAUCCCUAGAGGUAUUAUUUCCCAAAAAAAUCUUGUAAAUUCUUAUGACGGGAGAACUUCCUAAUAAUAAGUCUAUUAUCUUGUUUUGCCAUAAAUCUUUGGUGGAUGGCAUCAUUUUAUUGAAAGGGGUCUGUGGUAAAGACUAAUUAGUGAUUCUGCAACAAUUCCACGCUGUGUAAGUUUUGGGAGGCUCAAGGCGGAAAAAAAGGGUAGGAUGACUAGUAACUGGAAAUAGCACAAGUAUGCCUUGGGUUUAACUGUCCAGUUGCUACAUCUCCUUCAUUAAUUCAUUAAAUUUUUCUAGAAGCUUAAUUUUUGUGCAAGCAAACACUAACACUCUAAGUAUUUCCUUAUUUUUAUGUGCAUCUAGAAAUAGGAAUCAUGAAAAAUUUCGAAAGAUGAUCACACUUUUUCUAGGAUUAAUAAACAAUUUCUAUUUGUGUAAUAAAACAACUUUAUAAAUGAAUAUGAAGUAUUACUUGCCCAUAGUUUUCACCUAGCCACUCCAUCCUGACAUUAUAGCAAAUAUGAAAUCAGCAAUAUAUUUUUUCCACCUCGCACACAUUAUUUGUUCUUGGAGUAGCUUUAUGUGUUAGAAUAAUAAUACUUCAGUAGUUUAAUUAGAUGAAUGCAAAAAAAAGUAGUUCCAUAAUUUUCCAGAAAUUUUUGAGAAAGAAAGCAAAGUUUAUGAAUACAAAUUCUAGGUGUUGUUUUUAAAAUAAUACUUGCCACUAGAAAUCUUCUUAAACAUUGCCUAUCAUUAAGAUUUACUAAAGUUCUUUAAGCUGAACCCAAAUCAUGCUCAACCUUAUCCUACUUUACCAAAGACUACUUUAAAAUAGUCUAUGGGCCUAAUUACCACCUACAAUGUACAAUAUUGUCCUGCCAUAUUUUUGUCCCUCACAUAAGGGUAAAGAAACUGCACCUUUGAAUUAAUAUUACACUGAGAAAAUUGUCCUCCCUACAAGACCCUUGAAAAUGUGUUCAGCACAUGUUUCCAAGUCCAAGCAUACAGGAUUCUAAUUCAUUAAAUGUAUAAUGCUAACAUUUUAAUCCACUGCUAAAUGUAAAUAACUUCAGCAAUCCCAGUUGGGCUAUUUAACAUUAAUUUAAUGUAUUUUAUAAUACAUGUGUGUGUCUCCUCUCACGGGGCUAAGUAGAAAGGUGAACAAUUAUCUAAUAACUUCCAUCAAUGCACUCCACCAAACCUGGUAAGUCAGGCCCUCCUCUCUUUUUAUUUAUUUAUCUAGUAACUAUCUCACCUUGAGGUCCAUUCAGGUGUGUUCUAUCACUCCUAAUCAGUGCAAUGAAGAACCAGGCAAGAUCUUCUAGAAUCUGUUGCUAGCUUACAAAUUUAGUCACUAUAGAUAGCCAGUCUAGACUGUUCAAAUUUCACUCUCUCUUCUUUCUUUUUUUUUUUUUUAAUAGCUAGGCAGAAGGGUGUGCAGCAAUGCCUGAAUUCUUCAAAUAAUUAGUUAAAUUCUCUCACUUAUUUUGCCUUUGGUAGACAUUGCCUAGUUCUCUCUUUAAAAGAUGAAAGCAGUUGGAUGAGGAAAGAGAAUAAGGUUUUGAGAAAGCAUAGAUGCACCUCACCUCAACAUGUGUCACUGAUGGUGUCUAAACAGUGAGGCUGAGUACCUGAACCCCCCCUCCCCGCAGAAGCCUCUCAGAACCUCACUAAAGCAGACUCACCCAACUGCUCACAGACUUAAAAAAAAGCAAAGUGGGGGAGAGGGAAAAGAAAGGCAGAGAGGGAGGGAGAAGAUGGCUAGUCCAUGAAGCUGGAGUUUCAGUAUGAGACUAUUUAGAAAAUAAUUCACUUCGAAAACUGCUUUCACAGAAUAAGUUGGUCUCCAUCAAUAUCCAAGCAGUUUUCUAAGAGCCUGGUUGGCUAUGAAACUUGAUAUCUGUCAACAUUUUAUAGUUGCCCUGAGUUAAUAAGCUAUUUUCCUUCUUUGCUGUAACUGACAAAUUUUUUAAAAAUUGCAUCUUGGAUGCCUACCUUCUGGGGAGUUGUAUUUGCUAUGUUAUAGUUCUGUCUGCUUUCCGGCCACAGAACACCAAAGUAUUUAUUCUUACAAAUCUUUCUAUAUGUGUAACUUGAGCUUACUAAAACAGUGCUUUACUCACUUCAUUAAUUAACUCGACAGAAAAGAUGCUUUUACACUUUUGGAGUGAAUGACUCUUUAUCCAAAUUUUUGAAUACACAUUGUUCAAUUUUAGAAAUUUUUGAAUACACAUUGUUCAAUUUUAGAUCAUUAUAUAGCAUGUGUCUUUUCCUACCAAACCACACUAUCAUGUAGAA